rnacentral:lncRNA from 1 species
GCUGGCUUCGAGGGUCAGCCCGGUGGUCGCCGGGGUCGUGUCUGUGCCUUUCCACCAUCGAGUGAUAGCCCGCCGGGUGGCUGCUCACGCUCGUGGGCCUGUGCAUCUGCCGACAGGCCCUUGGCUGCGGCCAGCUCCGGCUGUUGUGAGCAGUGCCUUUGUGAGCCAUGUGUGCAGGGUCUGCUCGCACGCUGUUCGGGAUUCUCCGGGAACUGACUGACUCCAGCAUCUGCCCGUUGUGACCUCGAGGUUCUGGGGAAGCCAGCCGAGUUUCGCGCUGGCCCCUCAGAGUCCACGCCCCGACCUGUCCCGCCCAGGGGCCCUCAGGGGGCGCUUUAUCCAGCAUUGCACAGGUGAGGAAACUGAGGCGCAGCCGGACACCCUUUCCUCCUCCGGAAGGAACAGGGGUCGGGGAGGAAGAGGAGGUGAGUCCUCCCUGAGCCCAAACCCCUAAAUGCACAACGUCCCGGAC